GACGAACGCUGGCGGCGCGCUUAACACAUGCAAGUCGAACGGAAAGGCCUGCUUUCCCUUGUGGAUUGCGGGUACUCGAGUGGCGAACGGGUGAGUAACACGUGAGUGAUCUGCCCCCAACUUGGGUAUAAGCCUGGGAAACUGGGUCUAAUUCCCGAUAGGACUGCAGGGGGGUGCCUGUGGUGGAAAACGAUGUUCUAGUGGUUGGGGAUGAGCUCGCGGCCUAUCAGCUUGUUGGUGGGGUAAUGGCCUACCAAGGGGGCGACGGGUAGCCGGCCUGGGAGGGUGGACGGCCACAUUGGGACUGAGAUACGGCCCAGACUCCUACGGGAGGCAGCAGUGGGGAAUAUUGCACAAUGGGCGGAAGCCUGAUGCAGCGACGCCGCGUGGGGGAUGACGGCCUUCGGGUUGUAAACUCCUUUCGACCGCGAGGAAGCCACCUGGUUGGAAGGGUGGUGACGGUAGUGGUAGAAGAAGCACCGGCUAACUACGUG
rnacentral:rRNA from 1 species